GUAAGUUUAGUUUAACCCAAAACUUUAGACCGUGACUCUAAGGAUAGGGGUUAAAAUCCCCUAACUCACC
rnacentral:tRNA from 1 species